rnacentral:rRNA from 1 species
UACGUAGGUGGCAAGCGUUGUCCGGAUUUACUGGGCGUAAAGAGCGCGCAGGCGGUCGUUUAAGUCGAAUGUGAAAGCCCCCGGCUCAACUGGGGAGGGUCAUUCGAUACUGAUCGACUUGAAGGCAGGAGAGGGAAGUGGGAUUCCGGGUGUAGUGGUGAAAUGCGUAGAUAUCCGGAGGAACACCAGUGGCGAAGGCGGCGAACUGGACAGUAACUGACACUCAACUGCGAAAGCGUGGGGAGCAAACAGG